rnacentral:lncRNA from 1 species
AUGCGAGCCUGUGCACCUAGGGCAGAGCCCAGAUUCCCUCUCAAGGUCUAGGUCCUGAUUUCCAGACUCACCAACGUUGGACGGGUAACCACAGAGGCUGUCUGUUCACGGGUUCACGAGGUAAUUGUGUUACAGCCGAACUUCGGCGUUUACUGCGUCAUAACGUGCGUUUUAUGAACUUUGUUUUUAUAGGAAUGCGUUUUAAGAUCAAUGAUUAAGAUUAAAUUACUUGACGGCAGUAAGACUUAAAAUUAAUGACGUUAUAAUAAAUUAUGUAUAUAUAAAACAAUUUAAUGUGCGUUUGGUGAUAAAAAAAAUUGGAAUUGCAAAUCGCACUGUGCAUGGAUUCAGAGUAAAACAUAUAUUAACAUCUCCUUAAACAGUAAGUGUUUUAGUGUACAUAUACAGUUUUCGAGUGAUAAAAUUUGUCAGUAACAAUCGAAAGAGAGCGUAUGCUCACUUACAUUAAUCGGGCUUUUUGGCUUCGUAUUUAAAUUACCUACCACCUAGCACUCUCAAUUAGUUUUCCCGCGAGACAAGUCACACUGUGUGAAUUAAGUAAAGAAAAGUUAAGUUACCUUUUUUACUUCGGCAGCUCUAAUGUUAGAAUUUUUUCAAGCAUUUGGACAAUUAUGAUCUUCUCUUAAUCCAGCUUAUUUCAAAGAGUAUCAAUAUCUAUCCAUACCGGCACACAUUCCAAAUAUAAAUCUCUAUUUUUUUUUUGGUUAAAAUUUUGCAAGCUAGUUAGGUUUUAAAAAACUAUCGGUUUCCAAAACUGGAAGAAAAUCCAUCUGAAAAUCGCAGCAUAUUUUAAAAUGUCUCUAAGUGUUAUAAAUUAAUCAUUUAACUCAUUAGUGAUGCAUUCAACGAAAUGUUAGAUCAAGAAAACCAAACCUGACGCUUUUUUUUUAGGAAGGAACGGGGUGGUCUAAUUCUAAAGUAAUCUAUCAGUCCUCAUUUGUAGCAGUUAUGAAAGUCGCAAGUCUCUUCGUUUCCACUGAUUUUAAAA